CUGAGGUGGGAAGGGAGAUUCGUAUCCACAACAAACUCAAUCCUACUGUUAGGACUUUUAGAUUUCCAUAUCCAUGCAUUAUUUCUUAUACACAGGAGAACCUAAUUAGUAUUAAAAUGUGUUCUUAGACUUCAAAAAUUCAUAGGCUUUUGCACAAAAAAAGAAAGGUUCAGGCACGUAUAAUCCAGCCCUCGAGCUAAGCACCCAUUAAAACACAAUGUUCUACUGUAUCAUCAGUGAUGUUAGAAACACCAAUCUAACUACUAAAAGUGAACAGAAGCAGUUUAUGUCUUUAUCGAGGUUUAAGGAUGACAGAGAAUGUUCCACUUCAGAAUACCCACUUCUGUAGUUUAGAUCUGGAAUAUCCCCUCAAGGCCCAGUUGUUGAAAGCUUGAUCCCCAACCUGUGGCACUAUCGGCAGGUAGUGGAACUUUUAAGAGGCGGAGCCUAGUGGGAGGAAGUUAGGUAACUGGGGGUGUCCUUAAAGGGGAUGCUCAAUAUGGGAUCCUGGUCCCUUGCAUUUUUUGCUUGCCGGACACCAUGAGGUGAACAGUCUCUUCCACCCUGUGAUUCCACCAUGAUGUUCUGUGCGGCCACAGACCCAAAGCAACAGGGCCGAUGACUGAGGACUGAAACCUCUGAAACAGUGAACCAAAAUAAGCUUUCCUUCUGUAGGUUGGUUAUCUCAGGUAUUCUGUCACAGUGAUGGCAAGCUGACUACCACUCCUACCAACAGUCCUUGUAAUAGUGUGACGCCAAAGGUCCUGCUGCUGUGCUGCAUCCCUCUCCUGAGGCCGCUCUCUUACGCCCUCUUCCUCCCAGAGCCUCCAUAGACCUCCACUGCCCACACUGGUAAGUCGGCCUCUGCGCAGAUGACCUCCCACUCUCCUGUCCAUCAUCCUGGAUUAUGAACCAUAGAGACCAGCGCUGAACACUCAGUCCAAACAGUUGAGCAACAAGCAAGCAAAACUCCCGCCUUCUCCAGUGGUAAGUGGACUGUGGACAGUGACAGUUUCUUCUCACGUGCCACCGAUUCAUUCCACUUUUCUGUGCCACUCUUUCUCCUACAACGAGAAUGGCUUUGCUGAAUGAUCUCCUGGGGAUAAUCUUUUAACUCUUGCAAUUAAACCAAUUAUCAACUUAAGGGCCAAUGUUUACUUACUAUAAUAUAGAAGCUUACUUAAUUAAAAAAAAAUUACCCUUGGGUAGAAACAUAGCCUGAAUUUAUGCAAAUUAUAUGAAAUAGUGACUCACAUAGGGAUGAGAGAUAGUUACACCCUGCAAAGGCUGACAGAACUUAGCUAACCUCUGGGGGCAUGUGUCACCCCAGACUGCCACAUCAGGGCUUCAGGAGGUAGGACAGGAGGCUGGAACUUUCCACAUCUCCCCAGGCACUCUAGCAAGUGAGUGCAGUCAAGACGGCAGUAUAGAGCCCUUAGCUGUCAAUCAUAGCCUUCUUUCUUCCCAAAGUGAAUAUUUUAGAGGCUACUUCAGACUGAGUCAAACCUACAUUUCCCCAACAAUCACAGGUGCUAACAAACAGUAAGGAAUUAGGGGGGAAAUAAUCU
rnacentral:lncRNA from 1 species